GGCCUGAUGGUCUAGAGGUAUGAUUCUCUCUUAGGGUGGGAGAGGUCCCGGGUUCAAUCCCCGGUUAGGCCC
rnacentral:tRNA from 3 species